rnacentral:rRNA from 1 species
AUUGAACGCUGGCGGCAGGCCUAACACAUGCAAGUCGAGCGGCAGCGGGAAAGUAGCUUGCUACUUUUGCCGGCGAGCGGCGGACGGGUGAGUAAUGCCUGGGAAAUUGCCCAGUCGAGGGGGAUAACAGUUGGAAACGACUGCUAAUACCGCAUACGCCCUACGGGGGAAAGCAGGGGACCUUCGGGCCUUGCGCGAUUGGAUAUGCCCAGGUGGGAUUAGCUAGUUGGUGAGGUAAUGGCUCACCAAGGCGACGAUCCCUAGCUGGUCUGAGAGGAUGAUCAGCCACACUGGAGCUGAGACACGGUCCAGACUCCUACGGGAGGCAGCAGUGGGGAAUAUUGCACAAUGGGGGAAACCCUGAUGCAGCCAUGCCGCGUGUGUGAAGAAGGCCUUCGGGUUGUAAGCACUUUCAGCGAGGAGGAAAGGUUGAUGCCUAAUACGUAUCAACUGUGACGUUACUCGCAGAAGAAGCACCGGCUAACUCCGUGCCAGCAGCCGCCGUAA